GAACCAGGACAGCUGACCCAAUUUACCAGAGGGAUGUCCCAUACCACAUGGCAUCAUGCUCAACAUUAAAACCUGGGGAAAGAAGGAGAACAAGGGGGAUUUCAGAGUUAUCAUUUUUGCCUUCCCAAGAAACUGUUAUGUGUGAUGAGCCCUGCUUUCCUAUGAAUAGCAGAACAACUGCCUGCAGAUGGGAAGCAAAAGGAAAGUCCUGCUGUAGCUCACUGCUCAGACCACUCCUCAUCAGUUUUACAAAUGUACAACCAAGCACUGUCUUGGUGUGCUGAAGUCAAAACAAGAUUCAUUGGAUUGACUCUUCACCACUUUCCAGACUGACUCUAACAUUUUCACUGGCACUGUGGAAUUGCCUCUGGCAAAGACUGAUAAUGUCAGGAGGAUGGAGGAAAGAAGGACUGGACUACGCAGCUAAAUUAAGGAAUACAAACAUGGUUCUUGGCAGCUAUUCUCCUUCAGAAUGUUUCAUUAACCGGAUUAUUACUCAAGGACCUCAAGACCUUCAAGAACUUACAUACAAGGUAGCCAAAUGCGACCUUUAGGAGUUAUUGCAGUCCCAUCACAAUUACCACAUUCCCAUCAUGUCAAAGGUAACAGGACAAAGUGAGCUCUCUAACGUGCAUGAUACCUCCUUGAAACGUGUCUCAUCUGAGUGUCUGCGUAUAGAUUUUUAUAUGUGAUCUAAACUUCAGUUAUAAUCAGUGGAGAUCUAAGAUUCAACACUUUCCACCAGAUAAGAGUCUGGUGAUACUUGAGAUGCCUCAAGAUACCUGAGACUUCCAUCUAGAUCUGAAAAGUCCUGUGAACUUCUCUUUGGCUGGUAUCAAGAGCUAGACAUUUUACAACUUGGAUGGCAGGAGUAGUGUCUUAGUCUGGCAGAAAGACCCUGCUAUAGUAACCAGCAAUGAGAAGAAAUUGAACCAUGUAGUGAACCUCAAUCAGCCUUGCUUGGAGAUGUCUUUCCCAAACCCAGCUGUGGUGCCCACAUGUGCAAAGCAGCCAACCCUCAGCUUGUGUAUCCUGGACAGGUGGGCAUGCAGGUCUGAGAUAUUGGCUAACGGUGUGUAUGGGAGAUGCUUACCAUCCUGCAGCAGUGCCCUGACACCAGCUGCAGUUACGUGGCUCACUCUGGAUGUCUGCAGUGCAGGCCCUGUCGCUGUCCCUGUGAGGAGCUGCAGCCGCCACGAGGGAACUAUGGACAACCAUGACGUAGGCAAGAGAAAAGGAGAAACAGAGGCACCCAAACCAGAUGGAUUCAGAAGUCAAGUGGUAUGUCAGCAGUCAACAUGAAGUCAGAAUUUGGCUUUCCUGAAAUUAAUCAGAAGACCAGACUUUGGGCCACACAAGUCUGCUCCUACCUCUUUUCUACCAAUUUCCUACUUUGCCUUAUUUUGCCCACCUCCCCCGUGAAACAGCAACAGAAACUUAAGCCCAUUCUUUCCAUUUUCCUAACUUUUCUCCAGAUGCUAGUUAGGUACAUGCACCCACUUUGUGUUUCCAGGCUGGAACACGUUUCUUGUGAAGCCAUCCAGCUCUCCCUCAGAGCUGAGCCUAUCCUGGCCACCUGCUGCUGUGUUGUCUGUUAAUCACACUCUUUCCCACUGUGAGUCCCAGCAGGAUCACUGUUGGCACAGAUUUUCACAUAUCCCAUAUUAGAUAAUUUCAUGGAAGGGCUCCACACAACCAAGAUUGCCUUUCUGUCAAGCUGCCUUUUUUUAUGAGGUGCUGCAUCUCAUCACCCAUCACGUUGAUAUGACACCGUCAGACACAGCCUGCUCCCUGCCUCCAUGAAGAGAAGUCUGAUUGCUUGAGUCAAACUGAGAAAUUCACCUUAGCACUGGAAAAACAUUCACUGGAAGUCCCUGGCAGUACCUAAAAAGGAGCUCAUCUCCCCUCUCCUAAUGUAUAUGUCUCUCAUUGUCACAACGGACCUUGUUGCUACAGCAAUGCACACGGAUAUGAAUUUCCUCAGAAUUAUGGUGGCAGAAUGUGAUUAAAAAAAAAUAAAAAAUGGAUCUUUGAUAUUAAAGCAACCUAAAGAGCAGGGUUCAACUCCUAGAUUUACCCACCACCUCUAAUCUACACAGACACUGUUGUAGAGACAUUCAUGGAAAAAAUCAAAACAUAGGGUAGAGCUACUCUGGAGAAUUUCCUAUCCCAGAAAGGGAGCUGAAGCACUUGAGAUAUUAAUGAC
ensembl:lncRNA